AGGAGCCUGCUUGGGAUUCUUUCUCUCCCUUUUUUCUCUGCCCCACCCCUGCUCAUGCUCUCUCUCUCAGGAAUAAAUUUAACAACAACAACAACAACAAAGUGUCCCCCAAACGUAUCAAGUGGCUUCCUAUCUCUAGACCAUUGUAGGUGCCGUGCUCUCUGCCUGGAAAAUGUUUCUUCUGUCCCUUCUCACCCUGAUUGAUUCUUAUGUCUUCAAGAUUCAGCUCAAGUGUCCCUUCCUCUGGGGGAAGCCCCAGAGGGUCUCGGGACUCCCCGUUCACUAAGCAAUGGUACCUGUACCGUGAACGCCUGCCACAGGGCCUUGGUCACUGCACCAGACCCUCAGUGGCCAUCCUCACGCCCCCUGCUCCCCCUGCCCAGGCCAUGAGUCCCCAAGUGCCACCUCCCUGCCCCCCUCAUCCCUCCUCCCCAUCGCCCCAGGCUUCCUGGACCCCUGCCCCAUGGCUCCCCGGUGCUCCAGAACAGAGUCCAGCCUCUCAACCUGGCAUUCAAGGCCCUUAUGGCCUGGCCCCCCUCUACCUCCCCAGCCUCAUCACCCCCAACCCCUAAUUCUCCCGCCUUCAUCCCCCCUGAGCUAUUGUGGGUCCAGCCACCUGCCUGAGUUUUUCUCCCUUCUGGGCCUUUGUACGAUGCUGAUCUUUCUGCCUGGAAUACUAUUUUCUGGUGAACUCCGAGCCGCUCUUGGAAUCCUGGGCAUUUCUUAUCACGUUCUACCUGUUUCAUCACCUGCUGGCAGUGCUUGGCACACAGAAGACUACGCAGUAAAGGGCUUUUCAAUGAAUGAGAAAGUUGAAUGAGUCUCUGCUCCCUGCAACCCGAAAUGUCUUGGCCCAGACAGUGACUCCUGCUGGCGCUCCCACAAUGCCCGCGCCACCCCCAGGAUUGCAAGCCGCACACCGUGUUGUCAUUAUCCCGUCCCUGUCUGCCACCCCUCCAGGACCCUGUGUUCUUUGAAGAGAAGUCCAUGGGCUUAUUCAUCUCUUGUGUUCCCAGAGCCCAGCACGAGCCCUCGUUCCCAGCGGGCGCUCAACUCAUCAUUGCCGACACUUCCUGCGGUGGAGAUGCUGUUUCCCACCAAACCCUGUCCUCCUCUGGCCUGUCCAGCCAGAGUCCACGCUUUCCAGGCCUCCCGGCGGCCAGCGCCCCACCACGCGCAGGAGGGACCUUCGAACUCUAACAGUUGGCAUGGCGCAGGCGCCAGCCAAUCAGAACUGCCGUCUCACCAAUCUGCAUGGACGCCACUGUCGCCAACCAACCAGGCAGCCCCGGGCGCAUGACGUCAUUCUCGCCAACGGAAAGGAUGCCUCGUCCCUGCUGUAGCACUUGCCCCAAAAAGGAAAUCGCUCGCUCCCCACUUCCUCUCUUUCCUCCUUCUCAGGAACUAGCAUUCAGACACGCCAAGGACGCAGCUUGGACCCCGCAAAGAAGGGGGGCAGAGCAACAGGGCGGGAGGGUCCUGGGUCCCUGAAUGAUCACCUGGGACAACAGAGCCUGCGAUAGCCUGGAACACUCCUGUCUGGAUUUUUUUUUUUUUUUAAUAAAGAUUUUAUUUUACUAAAUUUCUUCAAACGUU